CGAGCUUGGCAGAGGAGAAAUAUGAUCUUCAAAUUGCAGAAUCAGAGGAGGAGUUUCUGAGGCAUUCGAAAGGGAGGAAGGGGAUUCAGAAAGAUUUCGU